UACAGAGGGUGCAAGCGUUAUCCGGAAUGAUUGGGCGUAAAGCGUCUGUAGGUGGUUUAGAAAGUCUACUGUCAAAUACCAAGGCUCAACCUUGGGCAGGCAGUAGAGUACUUUUAGACUAGAGUGUGGUAGAGGUAGAGGGAAUCCCUAGCGUAACAGUGAAAUGUGUAGAUUUUAGGGAGAACACCAGCGGCGAAGGCGCUCUACUGGGCCAAGACUGACACUGAGAGACGAAAGCUAGGGGAGCGAAUAGG
rnacentral:rRNA from 1 species